rnacentral:lncRNA from 1 species
GCCUACUCAUCUCAAUGAGGUCCCUUAUAGGAAUCUUGGGGUAGUAUGCCUGGCCUCACAGCUUCAAGUCCCGACUCUGAUGGAUCGAAAUCGAGACAGCAAGAAUCCUAUCAAUAACUUGACCAUCAAAGAGAUGAGUGACAUCCUGUGCUCUCCAACCCCUACCAUUGGCAGUGAUCAAAUUACAGACUCGCAAGUGGUCAUCUAUCUCUUUGUUGAUAUAGGUCGACCAAUGUGAGAGGGGCA